GUACAUGCAUGUGGAUGGCGUUCAGCACUGAUGAUAGGUAUAUUUGCCUGUGUAUGGAUAGUGUUUAGCACCAAGGGUAGGUCUGUUUGAGU
rnacentral:pre_miRNA from 1 species